rnacentral:rRNA from 1 species
GGGAGUGAAAGAGAACCUGAAACCCUGUGUUUACAAGCAGACAAAGCACGUUAAGGUGCGAUGUCGUACUUUUUGUAGAACGGUCCGGCGAGUUAUUUUAUAUGGCAAGGUUAAGUACUAUUAAGGUACGAAGCCGAAGCGAGAGCGAGUCUGAAAAGGGCGAGUAAGUCAUAUGAAAUAGACCCGAAACCGAGUGACCUAUCCAUGGUCAGGAUGAAGCUUGAGUAAAAUCAAGUGGAGGUCCGAACCCAUAAGCGUUAAAAAGCUUCGGGAUGAACUGUGGAUAGCGGAGAAAUUCCAAUCGAACUCGGAGAUAGCUGGUUCUCCUCGAAAUAGUUUUAGGACUAGCCUUGUUUAGUAGUAUGUGGGGGUAGAGCACUGAAUGAGCUAGGGGCCAAACCAGGUUACUGAACUCUAUCAAACUCCGAAUACCAUGUACGUAAGAACAGGAGUCAGACUGCGGGAGCUAAGUUCCGUGGUCAAAAGGGAAAGAGCCCAGAUCGUCAAUUAAGGUCCCAAAGAUAUAGUUAAGUGGAAAACGAUGUGAUUUUGCGUAAACAACCAGGAUGUUGGCUUAGAAGCAGCCAUUCAUUUAAAGAGUGCGUAAUAGCUCACUGGUCGAGUGGAGUUGCGCGGAAAAUUACCGGGGCUAAACUAUACACCGAAAUUGCGGAUUCAUGAGUAAUCAUGAGUGGUAGAGGAGCAUUCUAUAGUAGGACGAAGGUAGAUCGAAAGGACUGCUGGACGAGAUAGAAGAGAGAAUGCCGGAAUAAGUAGCGAAAGCAUGGUGAGAAUCCAUGCCAUCGAAAGUCUAAGGUUUCCUGGGGAAGGUUCGUCCGCCCAGGGUAAGUCGGGACCUAAGGAGAGGCCGAAAGGCGUAUCUGAUGGACAGCAGGUAGAAAUUCCUGCACCACCGAUAUACUUAAAAAAUGCAAGGGACACAGUAGUGGAAGGAAAGCGAGGAAGAGGAAAGACUCGUAUCGAAAGAUAUAGUGAAAAAAUAAGUAACGAAUUUCCAAGAAGCACACUGGCGAGAAAAGCUUGUAGGAAUUGUAUAAAGGUGCCCGUACCGCAAACCGACACAGGUAGAUAGGAAGAGGAUCCUAAGAUGAGCGAGAGAAGCAUUGUUAAGGAACUCGGCAAAUUGACCCCGUAACUUAGGGAGAAGGGGUGCCAAAGUAAAAUUUGGUCGCAGAGAAGAGGCCCAAGCAACUGUUUAACAAAAACACAGGUUUCUGCUAAAUCGAAAGAUGAAGUAUAGGAGCUGACGCCUGCCCAGUGCUGGAAGGUUAAGGGGAAGAGUUAGAUGUAAGUCGAAGCUUAGAACCAAAGCCCCAGUGAACGGCGGCCGUAACUAUAACGGUCCUAAGGUAGCGAAAUUCCUUGUCAGGUAAGUUCUGACCCGCACGAAAGGCGUAAUGAUUUGGGCGCUGUCUCGACAAUGUACUCGGCGAAAUUGUAGUACUAGUGAAGAUGCUAGUUACCUGCGACAAGACAGAAAGACCCCAUGGAGCUUUACUGUAGCUUGAUACUGGGUUUCGAUAAUUUAUGUACAGGAUAGGUGGGAGGCGAAGAAGCAAUUGCGCCAGCAGUUGUGGAGUCAUCCUUGGGAUACCACCCUUAAGUUAUUGAAAUUCUAACCUGUAGUCCUGAGCGGGCUAGGGGACAAUGUCAGGCGGGCAGUUUGACUGGGGCGGUCGCCUCCAAAAGAGUAACGGAGGCGCGCAAAGGUUUCCUCAGCGCGGACAGAAAUCGCGCGAAAGAGUGCAAAGGCAGAAGGAAGCUUAACUGAGAGACUGACAAGUCGACCAGAUACGAAAGUAGGUCUUAGUGAUCCGGCGGUAGUGAGUGGAAAUGCCGUCGCUCAACGGACAAAAGUUACCCUGGGGAUAACAGGCUUAUCUCCCCCAAGAGUUCACA